rnacentral:tRNA from 1 species
GGCAAGGUGGCCGAGCGGUCUAAGGCGCUGCUUUCAAGCGAUAAGCUUCCUGUUACGGGAUACAGCAGUGGGGAAACUCUCGUGUGUUCGAAUCACGCCCUUGUCA